rnacentral:tRNA from 1 species
GGUGACUCAGUGGUAGAGCACUUGCCUUGCAAGCAUGAGGCCCUGGGUUCAAUUCCUCAGCACCA